UCGACUACAUGAAGCUGGAAUCGCAGUAAUCGCGAAUCAGCAUGUCGCGGUGAAUACGUUCCCGGGUCUUGUACACACCGCCCGUCACACCAUGGGAGUUGGUAACGCCCGAAGCCAGUGACCCAACCGGAAACGGAGGGAGCUGUCGAAGGUGGGACCGAUAACUGGGGUGAAGUCGUAACAAGGUAAC
rnacentral:rRNA from 1 species